rnacentral:rRNA from 1 species
CAGUAGCCGCGGGAAUACGUAGGUGGCAAGCGUAGUCCGGAAUUAUUGGGCGUAAAGGGCUCGCAGGCGGUUUCUUAAGUCUGAUGUGAAAGCCCCCGGCUCAACUGGGGAGGGUCAUUGGAAACUGGGAAACUUGAGUGCAGAAGAGGAGAGUGGAAUUCCACGUGUAGCGGUGAAAUGCGUAGAGAUGUGGAGGAACACCAGUGGCGAAGGCGACUCUCUGGUCUGUAACUGACGCUGAGGAGCGAAAGCGUGGGGAGCGAACAGGAUUAGAUACCCCAGUAGUCCCUGUCUCUUAUAC